CUCUCUCGCAAGCUCUCUCUGGCAGGUCUCUCUCUCUGCUCAGAGUUCACCCAAAACCGGAGCAAAAAAAAAAAAAAAACCCGAGGGAUCCAUCGAUCGAUUCCGUCAUCUCCGGCGAGAGAAGCCUGAGGAAGGAGCUGGCCGCGGCCGUUUCCUUGCGGCGAUCGCCGCCCUCGUGAUCGCCUCCCUCGCGAUCGGCGCCAGAUCCGACGCUUCCAACCACCGCUUCUUUGAUCUGCCGUUUUGCCCUCCAGCUCUCGUCAGGAAUCUCGACCUCCUCCUCUGCAUCUCUUCGAGCCCUAGAAGACGGAGCAGCGGCCGGUGGAGGAGUUCGAAUCGCGAAGCUAAGCUCCGAGGAUAGAGAUCCGAAGCUCGAUCGACGGCGGUGACGACAGCGGCUUCCGAUCAUCUUCUUGUUCAUCAUCUACCGCCGGGGUUUUUCUCUCAGCUUUCUCUCUGGCUCGAUCAGGUUUUCUCUCUCUCGCCUUCAACGCUUUCCGUCGCUUGAUUGAGGUAUUGCUUCUCCGUCACUCGGUAAAGUCAUAAGCGCCUCCGUGUUGUGCACAUCAAAAUUACUACAGAUAGACAGCGUAUUGUGGGGCUUUUUGUACCAAAUUCGGCCAUUGAAUCUGUCCUUCAAGGUUUGGCGUAGGUUCAGGACAUAGAUGAUUGAGAUGGUAGUUCAGCAUUUUUAUGAGUAAAUAGAUUAGACAGGCUAGUUGUGUUCUGUUUCUUCAUUGAAAAUUAUAGACAUUUUAUUUUGAACUUGCUUUAGAUUUGCUGGAACAUUUGUGUUUGAGAUCAUUGAAAUUGCUGCUGUGACAGAGCUAGGCAUGAUUAGCACUAGAUAUAGUAAUCAGAAUUCUCCUCUUAAUGUUUCAGUUUGGUAUCCGUGUUAUCUAUUUUUGAACCUUUCGUCGAUAACGAAGAUGCCUUCCAUUCAUUUUGAUAAACACAGCUGGCGAAGUGUAGUGCCAUUCAUUGCAGGGGUGUUGUUCGUCGAACAGAAUUGUGUUAGAGGUCAGCUGGUUUAGGCCUAGUAUCAUUGAUUGGGAGUGAUUUUUUAUCUUGACUGGGGGAGCUAGCAUCGGCAUGCCCGGGCUGGAAUUUUGCUCUGAUGGUGCUGUGGAAUAGUUUAUGCGAACCUUCCGUUGUUUCAAGCACCAUUCGGAUGUUGCUGCAAAAGCAAGACGAGAAAUUGUGCAUUUGUUAGAUGGCUGUGGAGUUGGAAAUUCGCGCGCUUUUCUCUCGCAUGAUUUGCAAUGAGUUGAUGAUUAUUGAUGAUGAACUUGAAGUUGAUUGAACUUGAUUUGCCUUGAUCUGCAAUUUCGUAUACCUGAUAUGUCACUUUUUGUUUUGGCUGAAACAAGGUGCUAGAUGAGUUUUUUUGACCUCGAGCCCUUCUAGACAUAAAAAAUACACUUCAAUUUGAUAUGCCGCACGCCCAUAAUGGAUGUCGUUUGGUCGCUGAAAAACACCUAGUCUCUUGAUUCUGCAGUAGUCUUUUUAGAUUGAUUUGUUGUUCUGACUUACUGCGAUUUUCUGUUUUGACUGGAAUGAGCUGGUAGAUGAUGUUAUUAGGACUUAAUAUCUUCUAGAGAUUUGUAAUAGACUUCUCAAGCUUUCCAUAGACAUAUUAUAUGUGCGAUUUGGCCAUCGUUUGUUGUGCUUUUCUUUUUUUUUUAGAUCAAGUUUUGAAGUCUGGAAUUUGUCUUGACCUGCAGUGCUGUCUUGCCUCUAUGAAUCCGACUGUCUACCAAUUUUGUGUGGUCUUAUGCAUGAUGAUUUUGAAGUUGAAUCCUCAAUGAAAGCUGUCCAUAAUAUCCAUAUCCAUCCCAUGCUAAAAUUUGAGAAUUUUUAAGCAUCAUUAAAUAAGGUCAAGUAACCUUAGAAUUCAAGUCGACAUGUAGCAAUUUAAAUUGUUAUGCAUUUUGCUCCUAAUGACAAGUCACAUAUCAAUGUUAAUGUUAAUGGAUUUGUGUGACUUUUGCACAUGGAUUUAGAGUUAAAUGUCUAAAUCAAACUUUUUCUUCACAUUUAACCCUAUGUCAUGUUCAAAUUUCACGAUUUUCAUGCAUUGAUUAACUGACUUAACAAAUCAGUUAUUAUGCAUCAUUCUCUAAUUUGCUUAUGAUUGAUUUGCAUGCUUUAGCGAUUGUUGCUUUUCGGCCAUGAAUGACUUUACUUGAACUUGAUACAUCUUAGGAAACUCCAUUCUUGAAAGUUGUUCCUCAUGGUGUACUUGAUGUUCUGCUCUUUUCUUAGAGCCAAUUAUCCAUGGGUUCUACCCCAUUUUAUGUUUGAUGAUUUAUGUUGUGAUUCUUUGUUAUGAUUUCAUUUUAGGAUUUUUUUUAGAAUAUCUUGCAUGCUGAAUUGAGAUUACUUGUCUCCUUGAUUUUGAUUCUUACUUAUUCUUACUUUAUGAACUUUGAACACAAAAGAUCUUGUUUUUGAUUGUUUGAUGUGUUUGUUUGUUUUCUUCCGUUGUAUGCACCUAGUUAUAGGUUUCUUAGGUUAGGAUUAGAUUAGACCUCGAAGAUAGAGAAAGCGCGAAGAUGGUGGAGGUCGAUGUCCAUUCCGACUAUUAUUAAUUCGUUUUUCCUGACAUAUGUCUUGGGUUCCUUGUUUUUUAUAUAAAACCCGACGAGUUGCGGGUUUUCUCUUCUUCUUUUUUUCUCAUUUUUCUUAAUUGUGUUCUCUCUUUUUUGAUAUUUUUAGGAUUGCAUAAUAGAUUUAUUGUUUUUCUGGAUUGUUUACUUCAUAUAUUGCAAUUUCAAUUUCUCUUAUUGAUUCCUUUUAUCGGUUUUUCUUAGAAACAUAAUAGAAUUAAAAUGAUCCAAUCUUGCAUGAUCACUUAGUUUAGGAUUAAUGAUCUCGAAAAUGUAAAAAGAAAUGUAUGGACAUGUUAGGAAAACACAACAUAUUGUUUAGGUACCGAAAGGGCGCUAAUAGCAAUAUUAGCGUAAUCUAAGUCUUCGAACCUAGAUAUUUGGUUGAGUAGGAAUCGAGGGAAUACUCCCAACCCUCGAUUGGGUUUUUUAGCCGACCCCUGAAACGAUGUUAGUGGCGACUCCCGUCUAUUUUUAGGUUGUCAUAAACAACUAGAUCACAUUAAUAAACUUGCUGUCGCGCAGGGUACAAGCUUGGGAGAGCUCGUGAUCUCGUGAGGGAACUCUCGUGAUCAAGUAUCUCUAAACCCAACAUUUCCCCCUUUUUGACUUCGAGGGCGGUGAGAUCAGGUCACGACACUCAUAAUGGGUGCUCAAUCUGCUUAGAAAAGAUACGUAAUACUCACUAAGUUAUACCCAUCCCCUUCCUUUCCAAUCUUUUUAGGUUUGGCGAUUAGCACUUAGCAAAUACAACUGAUGUGGUUGAAGGAAUUAUAUAUAUAUAGUUAAAUUGAGUUGGAAGAGGUAUUUUUUUUUAAUGGAUUAUAGAAAUUUUGAUGUCUUUGGUUGCAUCCUUGGGAGGAAGGAUGGUCUUGUUAUCUCCCUUUUUUGCUAAGAACAAAGGUGUGACAUGGGUGAGGGCCUCCACCCCUCGUUGACCAAAGUUGCCAAAAAAAAAAAAAAAAAAAAAGUAAAGAAGGAAAAGAAAAGAAAAAAACAAAAAUUAUUUUAAAAAAUCAAAAUAUUAUCUAAAAUUGCCCACAACAUCACUGGCCAUAUCAAUCAGAUGGUUGGCAUUCACAUUAGUGAUUUCCGGUCAAAAUUGGUCGGAUGGAUUCAAUUGGCAAAAAUGCAAAAAGUUUAGAUUUAAAUUGGUCCAAUUAAAAUAUUUAUGAUUGAAUUGACACUUAUGCAAUAAAUUUAGGACUUUUUGAUACUUUCCCUUUAGACUAGUAUGAUAGGCGGCUCAAUCCUACCCAUAACAUGAUUCAUAAGAAUUUUGAAAUUAAAAGCAAACUAAUAGUAUUUUGUAGAUCCCAUAUGGUUCUAAUACGAGAAUAAAUCUCUAGGGUAUAUUGACACGAAUUUUCUAAAUAAUCAUUUGAAUGUAAAUAUAGGAAUGACGGCCUAUUAACACUGAAAAUGGUUCGGUGGGCUAUGGGUGAAAAAUAAGGCCCCAUAAGCCCAAGAUUUGUAAAGUGAGCUACUAAAGGUCCAUUUGGUAACAAUUAUAUUUUGGGGAAUAAUUUCUUUUCAAAAUGUCUUUUUCUAUUUCUACUUCUUGGAACAUUUCUUAAUAAAAGAAUGCGUUUGAUAACUAUACAUAAUUUAUAUUCUUAGAAUAUAAAAUAAAUAGGAAUGUGUUUAGUACGAUUCACGAAUUUUUUUGUAAUGUAGAAUUUCUUAUAAUUUUUUUUCUUAUUAUUCUUUACUGUCGUUGACCGCUACCGUCACUGAUAACUACCAACAACACUGCUUGUCGCCACCAACUGUUACUGUCAACUGUCAAUCGGCAAUGGCCAAAGGCUGGCACUAACGACGUCAACUGCAGCAAGCGGCGGGUGGCUACGAUUGGUGGCCGCCGACGACGGCGACAACAGUUGGUCGACCAACCAACGAGCAGCGGCGACAAUCCAUUGGCCAAUCGGCGAGCAACGGCAAUUAGUCAACUAGCCAAUAGCUGGCGUCAACGGUCAUCAAUGGUAGGCAGCAACGAGUUGUAGCAAUGACGAUCAGUGAUGAUCGGCCAACAGCAAGCAGCAGAGUGUGCAACCGAACCAAGUCAACCCGGUUCCCAUUUUGGCCCAUCCAAAAAAAUAGGGUUGGGAACCUGUUCCCAAAGUUCAGACCCUGUUUAAACCGGUUUGGGAACCGGUUCCGAGGGAAUACCCACCAAGGAACCGGAUUGAUCGGACCGGUUUGAGAACCAGUUUUUGGGCCCCAAAAGUCCAAAAGACCAAAACCCUAGUCGUUUCUAUCUUUACUCACGCUUGUCACUCUCAGCCUCUCACCUCCGCCGAUCCAUCCAAGCGCUGCGCUGCUUCCGCUCACCCAUCGUCGCCUUCCUCCAUAUCAAUGCCCCCAUCCUGGUCCCGACCAUCCUCGCCACCCCCGGCGCCGUCGGCCUCGGACAUGAACAUGACGACACUGCUCAAGAAGGCCGGGUGCAAGACAUUCGCGAGCCUCCUCAUUUCGAGUGGCAUGCAAGUAAGGAAGAGGGUCACAGAGAUGAAGUGAGCUAAUUGCAGGUUCAUGGGCAUUACUGGAAAUAGGAAGUGAAACAGUCUUGAGGAUAGUACAUCCAUCAUUUGCACACACGAUAGUGCUAUUUUGACAUGCAUUAGUUGGCUAUCCCCUGCAUUACAGUAAGAGAAACGAUAGUGAUGUAAUGUCUUGUGCCUUUAUCUUAACAGCAGGUACUGGUCAAAGAGGCAUUUCAAGUCCGCAAUAUUUUCAAUUACAUAAGUUGAUUCAGACCUGA